GAGUUUGAUCGUGGCUCAGGGUGGUAGGAACAUUGAGGCUGGGCCGCCUGAGGCUUUGGCAUGAGGCUGGGGGGCCGAGGAGAGAUGUGAAACAGUUACACCGGGGGUGAAGGUGUCAGAGAGGCCUCUCAGUUUCAGCUUGAGUCGGCAGGCAGGCCAUGGUGGUGGCUGGUGGGGAAGUCACCACUGCCCCAGGCCAGAGAGGAUUGCCUCUGAGCCAGGGAUGUCCAGGGCUGCCUCUGAGAGAGGUACGGGUGGGAGUGGACACGGGCAGGUCAACCACUGUCCCUGCCCCAUGACCCCGACACAGGUCAGAUGACCCAGAUGUGGGGGCCAGGGCAGGAGCAGUUGAGGGGCCAGGCUAUCAGCUGAGUCGAAAGUUGGGACCCCCAGGCCUGACAGUCCCAACAACGUCACUGGGGCGGGCGAGGUACAGUGGGGUCAGGCCCUGCCCUUCCAACGCUAAAUUACAAAGAUCCAGCCAGCCUGGCUUGUCCUGUGUGUGUG
rnacentral:rRNA from 1 species